AACGAACGCUGGCGGCAUGCCUAACACAUGCAAGUCGAACGAGACCUUCGGGUCUAGUGGCGCACGGGUGCGUAACGCGUGGGAACCUGCCCUUAGGUUCGGAAUAACUCCCCGAAAGGGGUGCUAAUACCGGAUAAUGUCUUCGGACCAAAGAUGUAUCGCCUUUGGAUGGGCCCGCGUUGGAUUAGCUAGUUGGUAGGGUAAAAGCCUACCAAGGCGACGAUCCAUAGCUGGUCUGAGAGGAUGAUCAGCCACACUGGGACUGAGACACGGCCCAGACUCCGACGGGAGGCAGCAGUAGGGAAUAUUGGACAAGGGGCGAAAGCGUGAUCCAGCAAUGCCGCGUGAGUGAUGAAGGCCUUAGGGUUGUAAAGCUCUUUUACCCGGGAUGAUAAUGACAGUACCGGGAGAAUAAGCUCCGGCUAACUCCGUG
rnacentral:rRNA from 1 species